UACGGAGGGGGCGAGCGUUGUUCGGAAUUACUGGGCGUAAAGCGCGCGUAGGCGGUCAUGUAAGUCAGAUGUGAAAUCCCUCGGCUCAACCGAGGAACUGCGUCUGAUACUGCAUGGCUUGAGUCCGGUAGGGGAUGGCGGAAUUCCCGGUGUAGCGGUGGAAUGCGUAGAUAUCGGGAGGAACACCGAUGGCGAAGGCGGCCAUCUGGGCCGGAACUGACGCUGAUGCGCGAAAGCUAGGGGAG
rnacentral:rRNA from 1 species